rnacentral:lncRNA from 1 species
CACAGCAGUUUUCACUCAUCAGAGUGUCCCUUCCAGAGGAAUUGUUUGGGAAGGAAAGGAGAAGAGACAGUGCGGGAAAGGUGGGGAAUUCAGAUCGCCCGUGACGGCGUGUCACAUACUCCUGCAGGGUCACAAAUCCUGUCUGCACUCACGCCCGAGGGAGAGGACAGCAUCCUACUCAUUUCAGAAAAGGAAGAAAAGAGAGUAUUAGUCAGAAGCUUUCAUUUGGCCUGGGUGUCUCCCAGACCCUUCGUUCCCAGUGAGGAGGACAGUGAAAACAGACGCGUGCAGCAAGGAUCAGGACAACUCGGGGUGGAGGAUGAAGUAACCUCUGUGCGCCCCAGGAGCUCAGAAGCAGCAGUCUGGAUGGAUUCCCCACUUGCACACCGCCCCCCCGAGCAUCGUAUCCAGGGGCCUGGGGUCACCAUCCACCUGGUGCUGUGGACGCAUCCUGUGCUCAGUCCUUCGUGCCCAGAUUGCUGCCGUGGCCUCCUGGCUGAGUCCGCGUCCCGGUUCAUUCCGCCCACCUGCACCUGCUGAGCCUCCCCAAACCCGCCCUCCUCCAGGGAAGCUGGUCUCCAGGACGCCCUCUCUGAAAGAGGACUUCAGCUGCCUCCACUUUGGCCACAGACUGUCUAGUUGGGGUCUUUCCAGCUGGUCCCUGGGCUCAGAAGGAAGAUACUGCAGGCAAAGCAGCCCCUGAUGGAACUAAAGUGCCCGCUCACGCGGCAAGGACUGUCCCCAGCCAGUAAGAUCCCGCCCGUGACUGACCCCAAGACAGCGGUCUGUUUGACCUUCACUGUCCACCAGCAGGUGCCCACCCACCUUUGCCCCACAUUUUCCGUAUGUAAACCUGGAAGUGUGUGCAGUACCUUGGAGAUAGUAAAAAAUAUUUAAACACCUCUAGUUUACGCAAUGAAAUGCAGAGGCAUCGGGGGUUGGGGGGGGGGAGCCCUGGCUGCCAAGAAGUCGCCAAUGGCACCUUCCGGGCAGACAUGCUGUGCAAGGUGCAUUUGAGCCUUUGACAAUGUGUUUGGACAGUGUGGUCUAGGUGGGUAGAUAAUAGAAUGAGAGACAGAGGUUUAAAGCAUCCAUCAAUCCAAAUUUUACAGCCAUUACUGAACUUUAAAACGCAUUUCUUUUGAAGGCGGAGAAACUCAGGCUCACGUGGUUGAAUGAUUUCCGUGAACAUCUAGGCAGCUGAGUUAGAAGUAGGACCCAAGCAUCCAGGUCCCAUCCAGGGCUGUGCCCCGAGCCCCCAGGCCUCUGCAUUUUAUCUUGUAAACUAUAGAUGUUUACAUAUUUUUGACUAGCUACAAGAUACAUGCUCAUUUUCGUAUCAGUGAAAAAAAUAAAAGGAAAAAAACAGAGAACA